rnacentral:rRNA from 1 species
AAUAUUGCGCAAUGGGGGAAACCCUGACGCAGCAACGCCGCGUGAAGGAUGAAGGUUUNCGGAUCNUNAACUUCUUUGAUGAGGGNAGAAGAAAUGACGGUACCUCAAAAACAAGCCACGGCUAACUACGUGCCCGCAGCCGCGGUAAUACGUAUGUGGCGAGCGUUGGCCGGAAUUACUGGGUGUACAGGGCGUGUAGGCGGGAAAGCAAGUGAGAUGUAAAAUACCGUGGCUUAACCACGGGGCUGGAUCUGAAACUGGUUUUCUUGAGUGUCGGAGAGGAAAGUGGAAUUCCCAGUGUAGCGGUGAAAUGCGUAGAUAUUGGGAGGAACACCAGUGGCGAAGGCGAAUUUCUGGACGAUAACUGACGCUGAGGCGCGAAAGCGUGGGGAGCAAACAGG